GAUCAUGGCUCAGAUUGAACGCUGGCGGAAUGCUUUACACAUGCAAGGUCGAACGGUAGACGGGGGCAACCCCUCGAGAGUGGCGAACGGGUGAGUAAUAUAUCGGAACGUGCCCAGUCGUGGGGGAUAACGUAGCGAAAGCUACGCUAAUACCGCAUACGAUCUACGGAUGAAAGCGGGGGACUCGUAAGGGCCUCGCGCGAUUGGAGCGGCCGAUAUCAGAUUAGCUAGUUGGUGGGGUAAAAGCCCACCAAGGCGACGAUCUGUAGCUGGUCUGAGAGGACGACCAGCCACACUGGAACUGAGACACGGUCCAGACUCCUACGGGAGGCAGCAGUGGGGAAUUUUGGACAAUGGGCGCAAGCCUGAUCCAGCAAUGCCGCGUGCAGGAUGAAGGCCUUCGGGUUGUAAACUGCUUUUGUACGGAGCGAAACGGCUCUCUCUAAUAAAGGGGGCUAAUGACGGUACCGUAAGAAUAAGCACCGGCUAACUACGUG
rnacentral:rRNA from 1 species